UACAGAGGUCUCAAGCGUUGUUCGGAUUCAUUGGGCGUAAAGGGUGCGUAGGCGGCGCCGUAAGUCGGGUGUGAAAUUUCGGAGCUUAACUCCGAAACUGCAUUCGAUACUGCGGUGCUUGAGGACUGGAGAGGAGACUGGAAUUCAUGGUGUAGCAGUGAAAUGCGUAGAGAUCAUGAGGAAGACCAGUGGCGAAGGCGGGUCUCUGGACAGUAACUGACGCUGAGGCACGAAGGCCAGGGGAGCAAACGGG
rnacentral:rRNA from 1 species